UUUUGGUCUAGCGCAAAAAUGAAAGUCUUCUUUACUCUAUCUCUUUUACUAGCAUUAUUUUAUACUGCUACCAGCAAGCCACAUUAUAUGUUUAAUAUUGCAGGUAGCUCUCGCUGUGUCAAUGUCUGGGACGAUGGUUGCACCAACGGUCAACUGCCGGGUGCUGGUGACGACGAUGAUUAUUUGAACGGUGGUUUUAAUCCGGGAAAACGUUGCAUUAAUAU